GCCUGCAUGAGGUUUUGCCCAAUCUGCCCCCCGCAUUCUGCAGCCAAUCCAUCCUCGCCUCGUCCCACUCCCGCACCGGCCACCACCCAAACCCUAGACCCAUUUCCCCUCGAUCCCCACAGCCUCUCCCGCCUACUCCAUCCCUCCUCCGUGCCUCGCCACGGCCUCCGCCCCAGAGCCUCGCCGCCACCUGCUAUUCCUCAUCGCCCAUGCGAGCUCGGUGGCGGGAUGAAUGGACAGGGGAGGUGGGCGACGAGGGCUACUCCACCCACCAGAUUCGCGCCGCCCCUGCCCAAAUCCUCUCCGCGUGCGUUGCACCCAAUCCCGUCCUCGCUCGUAUCGUCCGACGGACAGGUCCCCAUCCUCCUGCGGUUCCCCUCCCUUUCCUCCUUCUCCCUCACGACAUGUCGCCUGUCUCCAUCCCGCAUCUUGCUGCCGCAACAGCCUCUCCAGGAGGCUCGCCCUCCGUGCUGCAAAGUAGCAGGCCCGGACCUGGAGGAGGAAGAGGAGAUCAGGGGGCCCAGGCGGUGGCUCGGUACAGUUCCUUUUCGAUAUGCUCUUCAUGGCGCCGAUGGCUUCCACGGAGCAGAGGAAAGUAUGCGUGCCUUCUGCUGGAAAGGGCUCGGUGGUUGGGAGAGUAGCGCCAUGAAUGAUGAAUGUUGGCGAUCUUUUUAUUGUGACACAACGCUUUCGAGUUUCAUGAGACAUGGCCAUUCUCAAAAGGUUUAAACUCCACAUGGUCAGUAGAAUGGGUAUCUAAAAGGACCAAGAUCUAACUGAGUUAAAAGAAGUACGUUGCCACUGCCUCGGUGUUUAUAACUGUGGUGGUUGUUCUGAAUUGAAAUGGUCUGUGGAUGGUGAAGGAUGGGCGGACAAUGAGGAGAUGGAAAAUGAAGCAAUGUUAUGGGAGAAAAUUGAGGGAGAACAGUUGGCCGCCAUCCAUGAAUGGGAAGAUAGCAGACCUGCGGUGUUUGCAGAAUCAACAGGAAAAAUGACCCUCCAAGCUCCAAGAUGGACUAAAAGGACAAGGUACACGCAAGCUGAACAAAGGGAGGAGUGGGGCAGUGUGGUGUUUGAGGUUAAGGUAACUGAUAGUGGCACUGAAUUUUAGUGUGUGUGGACCUUUUGCCAUGUUGGUAUGCUCUGUCAUAUAAUGAAGGUAUAAAAUUUGCUAGCAUGCUAUGACAGUUUCACAUUGAUGAUGGUUAGGCUAGCCUGCUCCAUGUGGAUUUUACAGUGAAAAAUUGAAGGAAUAUGGUAAACCAUUUUAUUUAUUUUUCUAGAAGUGCAAGAUCCUAGGUUUUCAUUCGAUGUUACUGAUAAUUGUCAAUAAAUAAUUAUAUGCAAGAUUGUUUGUUGAUGACCAGUAAAUUUGUCAAAGUGGGAUUUUAGAAUCUAAAAAUACUUUUACUAUUGAUUUUGUUUAAUAUCUAAAAAUGCAGACCAGUUCUUUAGUGAAUUUUAAAAUUUCCCUUCUUUAUAGACAAGGUUUAGUUUUGUUUGGUUGUUAAUCUGGUGUAUACAGAGAUUUGUUACCAGCCUAUGGGAAAAAACAUCACUAUCUAUUUAUUCUCUCAUGUGAGCACAAAUGAAUGAGCUUCAAUGUCUCCAGGAAAUUUUAUGUAGACAUUAAUCCAUCGUUUUCAUGUCAUGUUAUACUUUUCUAGGCUUUUUUUGUUAGAUAAUAUAUGAUUGGGAUAUAUGUUUUUGAGUCGUCUGUUGGAUACCAAUAAAAAUCUGGCGAAGGUAUUUCUUUGGUUUGAGAGUGUUGACCUAUUCUGCUGAGGACAAAUCCAAACAGAUGGUUCUCUGGUUAGAUUAUAAUUAAUAGGAUGGAAGUUUAGGUUUUCUGAAGAUGUUUUUCUUGGAGAGGCGGGGGUCUGCUUUGGUUUCUUGCUCUUGGGCUCUUCUCUAAAAUACUUGACCGAAUGCCACUGAUAGUUAAUUAAUACCUUAAUAGCUUGGAUGGUUCUGUAUUUGUUUUCUUUAGAUUUAUAACUCUUCAAGAAUUAUAAUGGAGUAUUUUCUAGGUUAUCUUGAUCUAGAGCUUUUAUCGCCUCUUCGGUGAUCUACUGGAGAAAAACAUUGACCUGAAGCAUCCCGUCGAAUAUCUAUUCCUACCAAUACAUAUACCUGCUAUUUGCUGUCAUGUGUAAUGCAUACUAUAUGGUAUGGUAUCCACUUAUUCAGGAUUCCUCUGAAGUAAGGAAUUUGUAUUACCAGAAGUAUUAUCUAAGUGAUAUAUUUCGGGAUUGGUAUACUUCUGCUCUUGGUAGGAGAUCUUUGACCAGGACACUAUUCUACAAAAGCAGCAAAUGCUUGAGAAAGAUCUAAAACUCGGAGAGAAGAGAGAGGGAAAAGAGAACGGGGAGGCGAGGAGCACCUGCAUCACAUCCUGUGGCUGCAGCGGGUCGGCCUCCGUCAUCGGCUUCUUCCUGCUAGGACAGGGCAGGACAGGGUGUGGUGACAAUGAGUGGUAGACAAGAAGGGCGAUGCCGUAGUUGAUGAGGACGGCGAUGGAGAUAGCGAGCAACAUGAGGAGGAAGUGGAGGUCGGUGGGGAAGGCCUCCCUCCCGCGAGAUCACCACCACCAAACCCGCCGAGGUCAGAGAAAUAGGGAAAAUCAAAAUCUGAAGGUAACUAAAAUGCUCCCAAUAUGUUUCAGUUCAUAUUAUCAGUGAAUCUACUUUCUUCUGUGUAAUGGUAGGGUACAUUUUUACAUUUUCUCUACUGCUCUCAGUUAGGUUCUAUUUCAACUACUAAAACUUGUUGUAUGGAAUAGUCGCAAAUAUUAGGUAUAUCAUUGUUGUUUUGCUGAAUGAUGAACAACAAGGUAGUCCAGUAGAAUUGUAACUUGUGAGGCCCGGAAAUAGUCCCUUCAAAGUAUGAUGCUGGUUUAUAGAACUAAAUUUGUGUUCUACCUGUAUGUAUUUUUUUCUUUAGUUUGUAGGUUUCUUGGAAGAUUUACUGUGGGCUGUGUUACUCGCCAAAAAAGUUAACCCCAAGUCAGACCCUUUCAUGGCUUCGCUUAUUAAAUGAUGUUUUUCUCAAUUUGUUGAUGAGAAAUUCAUGAAAUUUGGUAUAGUUUUACGUAUGAUGUUACCUAUGGUUCAUUACCUUUGUAAUGAAGCACGUCUCAAAACAUUUUCCAAAGUUGAGCAAAGGAUGGUAACACCUUUAGCUAUUCUAUAUUCUUUGAUAAUAACGUUGACGACGCCGUCAUCAAAAGCCGCUUGGCAGGGGCUCACCCCGAAAACACCUCUUUUUUGCAUCUGCUGAGCAGAACCAAUUACCAAAUCCUACUGCAAAGCUCUAUGCUCUGCUUUGGCCUUGCUCUCACUUAUGGGUAGGAAGGACAAUAAGAAGGAAUUCAUGUUGGCUAACUAAUCUAUCUAAUAAACUACAGCCUAACCACGAUUAUUUUUUGUUUGCGGUACUUCCCAACUCACUUUACGAACAACCACCUCCUAGAGCACAUACGUUCAGGCCACUAUGAUCUACCAAUCAGAUCUGGAAAUGGAGAUGCCCAUGUAAUCGCUCGCCUUCUCAAAGGAGUGGACAAGAGAGCUACCAUUACAGUAAGCUAGAGUGGGCUCUUCCACUCUAUAAAUAUGAAGGGAACAUAUCAGCUUUCGCCUUCUAACCUGUAGCAAAGAGCCUCUAUUUGACUGUCUACUCCCUGUAAGGACAUAAUCAUGGAGCUUCACCACCGUCUACUUAUAUUUAGCAUACGUACCAAACUUGUAUGUUUAUAAUGCUUUUGCUCCAUCUGUGACAUGCUUAGAAUUGGCUUAUAUUUUCAUCUAGAUUCUCUUACUUCUGUUGACAUAAUGGAACGUCCUCUUGACCUGAUAUAUAAGUGUUGAUGCAUAUGGACUUAUCUUUUCUCUCUUGGUAAAUUUUAUUUGCUGAUCAGGAUUUCCUACCCCUUCCGAGUGAACCCUACAGGGAGCAACGCAUCUCCAUUUUGCUUCCAUAGGAUAAGGCAUGGGAAGAGGCGAACCUUCAUUGAUUCCUAAAUAAAUAUUUAAUCUAUAAUAUUUUCUUAUAUAUGUGCUCGGUUACAAUUACAACAUGGGGCUUAAAGUAUCUAUUACUAUGGAUAUUUGUUAUAUUUGUGCAUUUUAGUUACAACUAAGUGCCACACCAAUGAAUGUGAAUGCAUGUUCAGGUAAUAAGUAUCAUGAUUACCAAUUUCGGUUUGUCCCCAUAGUCUGUGUGUUCCAUAUCCUUUCAGUACCUUCUGCUAUUUUCCUGCAUUUUUCUUCCCUUCUGCUGUAGAUUAAGUGACUAGAAGCAAACAAAUGGUUAUGCCAGACUAUUCAGAUUAUCAAGUACAAUAUACUGCGGAAUAUCAGCUUCUUAAAUUUAUGUUGCAGCCUAGCAUAUACCAGGAUAAAAAUUUACUUUUGUGUAUCAUGUAGAUUAUGUUCCUCUAAAUCACGUAUACCAUUCUUAGGUAUUAGUAGUGCAGUACUACAUGAAGGCAAUAUGUUAGCAUAUUAGGUACUACUAUUGUUUGCUCUCUAAUGUGUGAGCGCUUAUGGUUUUGCUACAGUACAGACUCGGCAUCUAUUCGUCUUGGUACAAACUAAUGUUCUAAUAAGGUGUGAUAAAUUUAAUAAUAAGAUGAUAUUGCUGAGAUUAAGUGACCAGAAAUGCGGUUUGUAUGACCGAAAUUAUCCUGAACAUAUGAUUGUUUAUUAUUUAUUAUGCUCUGUUUUUAGGAAACUAUCUGAACUCUUCCCAAGACCAUUUGUUCGCUAUUAUUUUUCUUUAGAAGUUUCUCCAUGAUGUCACUUUCCACCUACUGGGUCGUGCAGGGUUGCGUCAUGAACGGCAUCUGGGCGAUCGCCCACGAGUGCGGCCACCACGCCUUCUUCGACUACUUGCUGCUUGACAACAUGGCAAGACGAAACUGAAAAGGUCAUUUGGGACAAGUGGAAGGAGGAAAGCCGCCGUAAGAUCGAUAGUAACUUUCCUCCCCUCUAUAAAGAACAUUGGAACUAUCAAAUUGGAACUAUCGGAUUCAAACUCCUAGAUGUCUAUGGCAGGAUGUAGGACUUUCUCCAGGCAGAGAUAUCCCCUCUGAUCUUUUCAUGAAUACUUUCACACUUUUUUCUAUAAAGUGCUGCUGAUUUUAAUAAAAUCCCUUUGUUCAAAAAACAAUAUAAUUUCUAGCUCCUAGAAGAGCUUGUUCAUUCAUACCUUUCCUUACAUUUUAACUAUGAUAGUGACCUCUUUUAUUUUUCUAUGUAACAGUCAUAUGCAUAAAUGGUUGAAAAUGGUGUCUGAAUGGCGCAUUUUUUGCUCA